AACGAACGCUGGCGGCGUGGAUAAGACAUGCAAGUCGAACGGGAUUUUUUUCUGUAGCAAUACAGAGAAAAGUCUAGUGGCGAACGGGUGCGUAACACGUGAGCAACCUGCCGUGAAGUGGGGGAUAGCUCGCCGAAAGGCGAAUUAAUACCGCAUGUGGCCAAGGAAGACAUCUUCCUGACGCCAAAGCCGGGGCAACAUGGCGCUUCUCGAGGGGCCCGCGGCCUAUCAGCUUGUUGGUGAGGUAACGGCUCACCAAGGCUAUGACGGGUAGCUGGUCUGAGAGGACGACCAGCCACACUGGAACUGAGACACGGUCCAGACACCUACGGGUGGCAGCAGUCGAGAAUUUUUCACAAUGGGGGAAACCCUGAUGGAGCGACGCCGCGUGGAGGAUGAAGGUUUUCGGAUUGUAAACUCCUGUCAUUAGAGAACAAGGCACACGGUUUAACUGGCCGUGUGUUGAUAGUAUCUGAAGAGGAAGAGACGGCUAACUCUGUGCCAGCCGCCGCGGUAA
rnacentral:rRNA from 1 species